UCUUAGCUGAAUGACCCGCGGGGCCCGAAGCGUUUACUUUGAAAAAAUUAAAGUGUUCAAAGCUGGCCCUAGCCGCCUGGAUACCGCACCUAGGA
rnacentral:miRNA from 1 species